rnacentral:rRNA from 1 species
UGAGUUUGAUGAUGGCUCUGAUUGAACGCUGUCCAAGUGCUUGACACAUGCUAAUCGAACGACAGGCUUUUAUAACAAAUAAUGGUCUGUAGUGGUGAACAGGUGAGUAAGUGGUAAUAACGCUGCCUUAAAGAAGGGGAUAAAAUACCUUAUAAAUUGGAUUAAGUCCAUAAUAAAGAAAAUUACAAUUUCUCUUUAAGAUGCCUUUUAUCCCGGGAAAGUAGUAGUUAAGGUAAUGGCUUAACUAGCGUAAAGCCCGUAGUCGAAACUGAGAGGUUGAUCGAUCACAUUGGGUCUGAAAAAACCCCAAUACGAACAGUACAGCAGUGAGGAAUUUUGGUCAAUGGCCUAACGGCUGAACCAGCAACUUGGGUGAAAGUAAAAGCAUUGUGUUUUAAAGACAUAGUGUAGUUUUUUUAGCUGCGGCUGGUUAUCUUUAAUAGGACCCUUGUACAACUUGGGACCUAUGGGAUAGCAAGAGGUUCGGCCUCUUUUUUGAAGCUUCGGCUAUAAGCGAUUUAUUCGCAUAAUGUUCCAUGUAGAAUAUAGAUAAUGACUACUUUCUAUGUGAAAGUCUUGACUAAAACACGUGCCAGCAGUCGCGGCAACACGGGACAGACAAGUGUUAUUCAUCUUUAAUAGGUUUAAAGGGUACUUAGACGGCAAUUUUGGCCCCCACUGAGUAGGGAUGGUACCUUAUUGCUAGAGUUUUAUGUGAGAGGAAUUUAGUACUAACAGAGUAGAGAUGAAAUUUUUUGAUACUGUAGGGCACUGGUAACGGCGAAGGCAGGCCUUUAUGUAAAAACUGACGUUGAGGGACGAAGGCUUGGGUAACAAACAGGAUUAGGUACCCUAAUAGUCCAGGCAGAGAAUGAUGAGUGCCAUAGGUUAGAGUUAUUUGACCUAUAAAUGAAAGUGAAAGCAUUCCACCUUAAGAGUAAUGCGGCAACGCAGGAACUGAAAUCAUUAGACCGUUUCUGAUACCAGUAGUGAAGUAUGUUGUUUAAUUCGAUAACCCACGAAAAAUCUUACCACAAUUUGAAUGUUAUAGCAACUAAAAGAAAAGUCUUUUAAUAAUUUAUUAUUGAAACGAUGUAAUUGCUAUUAAUACAGGUGUUGCAUGGCUGUCUUCAGUUGAUGUCGUGAGACGCGGGUUAGCUCCCGGAAUAAUCAACGUGAACCUAUAUUUUAUUUUCAUUGAUAACAUCAAUAACAUAGAGUAGCUUUGUCCUAAACCCAAAAAGGUCGGACAAAUAAUAGGGACUAAGACAAGUCCUCAUGGCCCGAACAUUGUGGGCUAUAGACGUGCCACAUAUACCAAGACAAAGGGGUGCAAAGAUGUGAAUAUUAAGCUAAUCUCUAAAAAUUGGUUAAAAAAAGAAUUGUAGUCUGAAACUCGACUGCAUGAAUAAGGAAUUACUAGUAAUCGUGAAUCACCAUGUCACGGUGAAUGCUAUCUCAGCUAGGUACUAACCACUCGUCACAUGCUGAAAGAAGUAUGCGCAAUAAGUUUGGUUACUAUUGGUUUGUAAAAAAGAAGAGAUCUUUUUAUGCCGGUAAAUAAUCUUCGUAUGCGUGACUUUGAUUAGUGUUAAGUCGAAAUACGGUUCGUGUAGUGGAAAUUGCACGGGAUU